rnacentral:rRNA from 1 species
UACAGAGGGGGCAAGCGUUAUUCGGAAUUAUUGGGCGUAAAGGGCGCGUAGGCGGCUUGGCAAGUGGAUGGUGAAAUCCCUCGGCUUAACCGAGGAACUGCCGUCCAAACUGCUUUGCUUGAGGCCGGGAGAGGUGAGUGGAAUUCCCAGUGUAGCGGUGAAAUGCGUAGAUAUUGGGAAGAACACCAGUGGCGAAGGCGGCUCACUGGCCCGGUACUGACGCUGAGGUGCGAAAGCGUGGGGAGCAAACAGG